AUGAAACUGUACAGUCCUCACAAGAUUUCAGGUUUCUAAAAACUUUGAGCAAAGAAGAAAUUAUAGGAAUCGUGAGGGCACACAGUGAGAGAGUUGUCACAACUGCCUACAGACCAAUCUUCAUAAGCCGAGCCAAUGUGUGGAAGUCUGCUCUCCGACAGUUUAGUAGACGGAAAUUUGUGGAUAGUACCGAUGUGCUAUAUGUGACCUUUGCCAGCGAUGAAGACAUCAGUGAAGAAGCUGAUGACCUUGGAGGGCCCCGGCGGGAAUUCUUCCGUCUACUUGUAAAGGCAAUCUACAAAGAUAGUGGCGCAUUUGAAGGUGGUGAACCCCCAGCCCUCCUGUCUCCUCUUGUGGCAGACUACCUUCUGACAGGAAACAUCUUUGA